CAGCAGCCACGGUAAUACGUAGGGCGCAAGCGUUGUCCGGAAUUAUUGGGCGUAAAGAGCUCGUAGGCGGUCUGUCGCGUCUGGUGUGAAAUCCCGAGGCUCAACCUCGGGCUUGCAUCGGGUACGGGCAGACUAGAGUGCGGUAGGGGAGACUGGAAUUCCUGGUGUAGCGGUGGAAUGCGCAGAUAUCAGGAGGAACACCGAUGGCGAAGGCAGGUCUCUGGGCCGCAACUGACGCUGAGGAGCGAAAGCAUGGGGAGCGAACAGGAUUAGAUACCCCAGUAGUCCCUGUCUCUUAUAC
rnacentral:rRNA from 1 species